AAACUCUCAAGCCUUGCUUGGUAUUGGAAUCUGUCGAUUGACAAUUCCGCAACUCCUUUGGCAGUAUUGUCCAGCUUCAAGUGUAGCAAGUCAUUCGCUUAGUUGUCUUGGAUUCUCCUUCCACAAGAACUUUUUUCAA
rnacentral:misc_RNA from 1 species